rnacentral:sRNA from 2 species
UCGCUGGGCCCGCCUAAUCGAAACCUCAUCGAGGGGACGUGCCGGGAACCCAAGUUUCCUUUGGGGUGAAUCCCGUCGAAGCCGCGUGUGCGGUGUCGACGGGUAGGGCUGAUCUUCCCAGCCCGAACCCGUCAGCUAACUCGGUCGGCGGACGAACGGAAGAAAC